CUCGUUCUAAAUUAGGGUAUGACUCUAACAGAAAAGAAGUCACGCCAUCGUGCACUUCCUAGAAGAUUUAGAAGACUCAGAGAGAAGAAGGGUUUCGUAACAGUUUAUAUACAGUUCAAACAAUAUCAAAGCGGUAAAAAGCGGCAUUUAGCACAUUAGGCUCAAACAUGUAAUAAAAUUAGAUAAUAAUUAAAAGCCAAGUAUAACAGUUAUUCUAAGCUCAAACUCUGAACCCUGAACCAGAGAUUCUGGGUCUUUUCCCCAGCAGAGUCGCUAGAGCUGUCACACCUUCUUUUUUCCGGGGGGGGGGGGGGAUAGGGAAGUUUUUUCAAUUUAAGUGACAUUAAUCGAAAUGAGAUUAUUUUAUUUAAUUCAGAGUCGCCACUUGGAAUAAUUUAUGGUGUCCCAAGUUACCGGUUUAUUUUAAAUCCCAAAUCGAGGAAAAUUGACUCUAUUUUUGGUCCGCAAAUAUAGAAGACCGGGUAAGGAAUUCUGUUAACCCGAGAGAAGGUGUUAGGCAUUCCCGGGUUUCGUGGUUUUAGCACGGUCACCCAACUAUUAAUAAUUGGCCUAAUUAUCUAAUUUAUUACAUGUUUUAAACCUAUUGUGCAUUUUCAAUUUUACACCGCUUUUAAUUAUUUAUGGAGUUAUUUCUAGAACAAGUUACGAUUGUCGUACACUUGUUUAUUUUUGUACAUGUUGCGAAUCAUGUCACGAGCACUGUACCCAUAAUCUACAAUAUGUGUAUUUUAUUAUUGUUCGAAGUUGUGGUCGGAUCACAUGAAAUGUGCACCAGAAUUUGAGAAUUAUUUAUCACGACUAUGCCACGGUAACCGUACCCAUAGCCAUGAUGAUUUACUUAAACGCGCCUAAAGCAAACUACGAAUGUUUAUGAGAUCUUAAGUUACGGUAUUUAUUUAGGUUACGUUAUGUAUAAUGAAUUAUCAUUGAAACACUUUGUGAAGUAAUUUGAUUCUAUUAUUAUGAAGAAUGCGUCACAGAAGGAGUCUAAGUUCAUCUCAACAAUAUCACCUUUAAUAGAUAUGUCUAGCAUUAAUUCUGUUUUGGGACAAAUGAAUUGACAUGGAUACAAAACAUGGAUCAAUGGUUUGGAAAUGAAUCUUUGGCAUUAAAUGCGUCCGAGCUGCAGUAGACUAUACCAAGCCUUAAUUGAUACAAUCAGAAGAAGAAACAGAGAUGGGCCUCUAUCAGAGCCCAAGCAACAUUCAAAUAGGUUCCAUUUUUUGGGACAACGUACUUCACCUAGGGAUUCAAAAGCAAUGAUCAUACAGAAUCACAUAGGCUUUGAAAUAAAUAGUUAAAACAAGAAAUGACUAACCAAAAGAAAAAUGUAUAAUAUGGAUAGAAACUCAUACGACAGACUUCAAUUAUAUUAUAAUUAAUAAUAAGAAAUGACAUUGCAUAGUCCUACUGAUUGCACUUGAUGCACUAGAUAAAUUACAUUUAUGUGAAGUGUUAUGGCCUGAUUCUGACCCCGUCUGGGCUAAUUGAUUUAACCAGCAGGGAUCCUGAUACUCCCUUCAUUACUACCCGGUUGGCUUGAAAUCUAAUCAGUGAUAGAUUUGAUCAAUUGGUGAUCAAAUUUAAUUACUGCCUAGCUUUGACCUUCACAUGCCAAUAUCAAAUCAAAAUUACACACUAAUUUCAUGAGCUAACACUCAAAUAAAGCAAUAGCAUUAUUUCCAUUAUAUGCUUAACGUUUUCUUUUUUCUUAAAACAAAUCUAGGUUUUGACUGAAGGAAUAGUUUUGAAACACUCUUCAUUAUUAAAUCAAGCAAAAAUAAUUUAAACCUAACAAAACAACCUUCAGUAGUGAUAAACCAACUUUAGCCACAUGAAACCAAACUUGCACAUCUUAUGGACACAGAAAAAGGAAGACUCAGAUUUUAGAAGUUCAUAACUAAACUGACAACAUGAAAUAUUCAAUACUACACAUAAACUGAAUUUUAGUUGAAGACAAAACAGAUUCACAACACCUUUUUAUCAUUAAAUAUAUGAAAUCCACAUGUGUCUCAUAGGUUGGAUAAUAGAACCUUUAUGUAGUUAAUACAUCAAACUUAAGCAUUCAGCUUACAUACAAAGAAGAAAAAGCCAAGCAAACAAGAACAAUCCAACCAAAAUAUAACAGGUAACUCCAAAUGGAACAAGCCUGAUAUUUUCAUAUAACUCAAAAACAGCAGCAGGUUUACAUACCUAAGAAACAGCAAGGAGCAAAAGAACACAAGGGCAAAAAGAUAAAUCUCUGAAUUUGGGGACAACUAAACCCAGAAUCUCACAACAGCUUGAUUCAAAGAAUAAGCAAACUCAACAACCAAAACAGUAAAUUCCAGCAGAAAUCUGAUGUUAAAAUCAGUAGAGAAGAUCCAGAUUGAAUUCUGAAAUUUUCUGUCUAAGUAUUUGUGUGUGCCUAUUUUGAGAGUGAAUAUGUUGAAAAGAAUCCCUCCCCUUAUGAGUGAGGGUUAUUUCUUUAUAUAGAGUGUAAGAAAAAUGCAUAAGGGUAGGAAUAAUAGAGAAUAUUUUCUCCUAAAAAUCAGAAAUGCCAACUGUAAAUAAGAAUAGUACAACAUUUGUUUUCAACAGACUUGGAACAACUGUCCUUUUUACCAAUUUUCAGCAUCUAUCCACACCAAAAAAGGGACAACUAUCCAAUACUAGAACCUUCUGAUAUUUUUACCUAAAGUUUAUCUAUUCUUACUUUCAAAUUAACCCCUUUAAGUUCUGCUUAACACAAAUAAACACCCUAGUUUUUUGUUUUAUAUGCCCUAAACUUCCUUAUUCUCUU
rnacentral:lncRNA from 1 species